rnacentral:rRNA from 1 species
UACGUAGGGACCAAGCGUUGUUCGGAUUUACUGGGCGUAAAGGGCGCGUAGGCGGCUUAACAAGUCACUUGUGAAAUCUCCGGGCUUAACUCGGAACGGCCAAGUGAAACUGUCAAGCUAGAGUGCAGAAGGGCAAUCGGAAUUCUUGGUGUAGCGGUGAAAUGCGUAGAUAUCUGGAGGAACACCGGUGGCGAAGGCGGCAUCCUGGACCGGUAUUGACACUGAGGCGCGAAAGCCAGGGAGCAAACGGG